rnacentral:rRNA from 1 species
GCUAGUAAUCGCAGAUCAGAAUGCUGCGGUGAAUACGUUCCCGGGUCUUGUACACACCGCCCGUCACACCAUGGGAGUCGGAUAUGCCCGAAGCCAGUGACCCAACCGUAAGGAGGGAGCUGUCGAAGGUGGAGCCGAUAACUGGGGUGAAGUCGUAACAAGGUACC